rnacentral:rRNA from 1 species
UGGUUCGAUCAUGGCUCAGAUUGAACGCUGGCGGCAGGCCUAACACAUGCAAGUCGAACGGUAACAGGAAGCAGCUUGCUGCUUUGCUGACGAGUGGCGGACGGGUGAGUAAUGUCUGGGAAACUGCCCGAUGGAGGGGGAUAACUACUGGAAACGGUAGCUAAUACCGCAUAACGUCGCAAGACCAAAGAGGGGGACCUUAGGGCCUCUUGCCAUCGGAUGUGCCCAGAUGGGAUUAGCUAGUAGGUGGGGUAACGGCUCACCUAGGCGACGAUCCCUAGCUGGUCUGAGAGGAUGACCAGCCACACUGGAACUGAGACACGGUCCAGACUCCUACGGGAGGCAGCAGUGGGGAAUAUUGCACAAUGGGCGCAAGCCUGAUGCAGCCAUGCCGCGUGUAUGAAGAAGGCCUUCGGGUUGUAAAGUACUUUCAGCGGGGAGGAAGGGAGUAAAGUUAAUACCUUUGCUCAUUGACGUUACCCGCAGAAGAAGCACCGGCUAACUCCGUGCCAGCAGCCGCGGUAAUACGGAGGGUGCAAGCGUUAAUCGGAAUUACUGGGCGUAAAGCGCACGCAGGCGGUUUGUUAAGUCAGAUGUGAAAUCCCCGGGCUCAACCUGGGAACUGCAUCUGAUACUGGCAAGCUUGAGUCUCGUAGAGGGGGGUAGAAUUCCAGGUGUAGCGGUGAAAUGCGUAGAGAUCUGGAGGAAUACCGGUGGCGAAGGCGGCCCCCUGGACGAAGACUGACGCUCAGGUGCGAAAGCGUGGGGAGCAAACAGGAUUAGAUACCCUGGUAGUCCACGCCGUAAACGAUGUCGACUUGGAGGUUGUGCCCUUGAGGCGUGGCUUCCGGAGCUAACGCGUUAAGUCGACCGCCUGGGGAGUACGGCCGCAAGGUUAAAACUCAAAUGAAUUGACGGGGGCCCGCACAAGCGGUGGAGCAUGUGGUUUAAUUCGAUGCAACGCGAAGAACCUUACCUGGUCUUGACAUCCACGGAAGUUUUCAGAGAUGAGAAUGUGCCUUCGGGAACCGUGAGACAGGUGCUGCAUGGCUGUCGUCAGCUCGUGUUGUGAAAUGUUGGGUUAAGUCCCGCAACGAGCGCAACCCUUAUCCUUUGUUGCCAGCGGUCCGGCCGGGAACUCAAAGGAGACUGCCAGUGAUAAACUGGAGGAAGGUGGGGAUGACGUCAAGUCAUCAUGGCCCUUACGACCAGGGCUACACACGUGCUACAAUGGCGCAUACAAAGAGAAGCGACCUCGCGAGAGCAAGCGGACCUCAUAAAGUGCGUCGUAGUCCGGAUUGGAGUCUGCAACUCGACUCCAUGAAGUCGGAAUCGCUAGUAAUCGUGGAUCAGAAUGCCACGGUGAAUACGUUCCCGGGCCUUGUACACACCGCCCGUCACACCAUGGGAGUGGGUUGCAAAAGAAGUAGGUAGCUUAACCUUCGGGAGGGCGCUUACCACUUUGUGAUUCAUGACUGGGGUGAAGUCGUAACAAGGUAGCC